GCAGCACCAAAGCCUUGCUGAGUGACGAGAUUUGCUAUCUGCAGGGAAAGUAUUCUUUGGAAGGGCUUCCUGCUGAUUCUGAAUCUCAAAGUUGGUGAGUGAGAAGAGCAGGCUGAGCCCUCUUCACUGCUAUCUGAGGACCAACACCGUGCAACGGGCAGGAUGCUGAGUCCAGGAGGAAUGGGAAGUCCCCCAUUAGUGGGAGGACCAGGUCUGUAACAGACACACAGAUGUGCACACACACAAACACACAGUUAAACACACGAGGAAGUGUUAGAAGGUGCUGGAGGAGGGAGGAGUCAAGUGAGGCCCCAGGAGGUGGUACUGGAGGUGGUCUUGAAGGAUGAGCAGGGGCCCAGGAACAAGGGAGGAUCAAGACUUCCAGUGACAAAUAUCGAGGAGCAGAUGGAGACCAUGGGGAUUGGAGACUUGUGCAGGAAAGGGCGGGAAUUGCACCGGCUGGGAGCAGUUAACAGGGCAAUCAAAGGACCCUGGUUGGUUUCCUUUUCCAAGAAAAUAACUCAUAGCUUGACAGAGGCAGGAUUAGAAGAGGCCAGCCUAGAGUCUGCGGCCCACGUCUACAGAGAUUACAAGGGAGCUGAGCAAAUGGCAGCCUUUGGGGAGAGGAAGAGAUGUUGUCAUAGUGGUCUAGAUAGGACUUGCACACUGGGUACGAGGCCUGAGAGGCCAGUGAAGAUCUUUCUUUUGUGUCCCAAAGUGCUGAAUGAUGGCAGUGAUCCCCCAAAACUAAGUCAACACAAAAAUAAUUCUCCACCAUAAGUCACAUGCAAGGGAGUAUAUCAAAUUUAGCUUCCCAUGAUGAUUAUUUCAUUGCCUUUCAUGAACUAUCCAAAAUCAAAUUAUUUUUUAAAUUAUUUAAUAUAUUUAAUUUAAUAAUUAAUAUAAUUAUAUUUUAAAAAUUAUUUUGAGUUUUUGUGCCAUCCUUGUGCCUUCAACAUUGUAAGUGUGCUUAUGAUGCCCAUUUAAAAUUCAUUUAACAUCAUGUGUCAUCAGAGAACUGUAAAUUAAAACAAUGAGAUACCACUACACAUCUGUUAGAAUGACCAAAAUCCAGAGCGCUGACGACACCAAAUGCCAGUGAGGAUAUGGAGCAACAGGAACUUUCAUUCAUUGCUGGUGGGAAUGCAAACGAUCCAGCUACUUUGGCAGACAGUUUGUCAAUUUCUUAGAAAACUAAACAUACUCUUACCGUAUGAUCUAGCAAUCAUGCUCCUGGCUAUUUACCUAAAUGAGCUGCAAAGUUAAAUCCACACAAAAACCUGCACACAUAUAUUUAUAGCAUUCAUAACUGCCAAAAUCUAAAAGCAACCAAGGAGUCCUUCAGUAGGUGAAUGGAUAAAUAAGCUGCAGUACAAGCAGAAAAUCAAAUAUGAUGCGCUGAUGAAAUAAAUGAGUUAUCAAGCCAUGAAAGACAUAAAUGAAGCUUAAAUGAUUAUUGCUAAAUGAAAAAAGCCAAUCUGAAGAGGAUACAUGCUGUAUGAUUUCCUAGGAAAAAAAUCAGUGGUUGCCAGGAGUUAGUGGGGAGGGUGAGAUGAGUAAAGUGACAUGUAGAGGAAUUGUAGGGCCAUGAAACAGCUUUGUAUCUAUAUCUGUAUCUGUAUCAACUGUAUCUGUAUCUGUAACUGUCACUGUGUCUGUAUCUGUAACUGUCACUGUAUCUGUAUGUGUAUCUGCAACUGUAUAGUAUCUGUAUAUUUAAAACUGUAUCUGUAUUUGAAACUAUAUCUGUGACUGUAACUGUAUCUGUUACUGUAUCUGUAUCAGUAACUGUAUCUGUAACUGUAUGGGUACCUGUAUUUGUAUCUGUAUCUGUAUUUAAAACUGUAUCUAGGCCAG
rnacentral:lncRNA from 1 species